rnacentral:lncRNA from 1 species
GCCAGCUGCUUCAUGGAUGGUGUCCAUUUGAUAAGGCUUUCAGGGUAGGCAGAAAUUCUUUUGUCACCAGGCAUCAUGAGGGUCAUCAGCUCCUGCUGUAGCCUUUUGGCUACAGGGCCCCAGGCAGUGCCCCUGCUGGGCUCAGCUCCUUUAUGGGCGGUGGCGACACUAACAGUGGCUGGGUCAAAGUUUUGUGAGGCUAUCUGGGUGGCACUGGCAGAGAGACAAGAACUCAGAAAAUGUGACUGCAUCUGUGAUCAUCAUGUUUAUUUUUUAUUUUUAUUUAUUUAUUUUGAGACGGAGUCUUGCUCUUGUCACCCAGGCUCCAUCUCAAAAAAAAAAAAAAAAGGAAAUAGUUUUAAGUUCUCCCAUCCAAGUAGUAACCAGGCCCGACCCUGCUUAGCUUCCGAGAUCAGACGAGAUCAGGCGCGUUCAGGGUGGUAUGGCCAUAGACGGAAAUAGUUUUAAGUUCUCAAUCAACUUCAACUGAAUGGUUAGUGGUCAGUUUUGUAAUCACAAUGACAUUCUUGCAAACAAAUACAAUGUGUGGCAUCUCUCUUUGAUAUACUGGAUAGUUAAAAAUUGUUUUAAAGUUUUGCCUAAUAUUUUGCGAUUUAUCUCAAUGUAAUCUGUAUAAGUAGUAAAAUUAUAGAUGACUCCUUUCCUUUUUUUUUUUUUUAAGACAAGGAUCUAGCUCUGUUGCCUAGGCUGGAGGGCAAUGGCAUGAUCACAGCUUACUGCAACCUCUGCUCCUGCAUUCAAGCGAUUCUCAUGCCUCAGCCUCCCGAACAUCUGGGAUUACAGGUGCAUGAUACCACAUCCGGCUAAUUUUUGGAUUUUUAGUAGAGACUGUUUCACGGUAUUGGCCUGACUGGUCUCGAACUCCUGUCCUCAAGUGACCCACCUGUCUUGGCCUCCCAAAGUGGGAUUACAGGCAUGAACCACUGCACCCAGCCUAAAUGACUACCUUUUAUGUUGCACAUUUUAAGUAACUUUUGUCAUUUCCAUCUUGGGUUGUUGCUUUUUUGUUUUUUGAGACAGAAUCUCGCUCUGUCGCCCAGGCUGGAGUGCAGUGGCCUGAUCUUGGCUCACUGCAAACUCCGCCUCCUGGGUUCAUGCCAUUCUCCUGCCUCAGCCUCCUGAGUAGCUGGGACAACAGGUGCGUGCCACCACACCUGGCUAACUUUCGGUAUUUUUAGUAGAGAUGGGGUUUCACUGUGUUAGCCAGGAUGGUCUCGAUCUCCUGACCUUGUGAUCCGCCCACCUCAUCCUCUCAAAGUGCUGGGAUUACAGGUGUGAGUCACUGUGCCCGGCCGUGUUGUCACUUUUAAUGUGCUUUGGUUUUAAUUUUCUGUAGAAAAGUAAAACAAAUUUUUCCCUUUAAAUUUAAUCCUUGCUUUUAAUGACUUGUGCACCCCAAUUUACUAAGAAAAUAAACCAUUUAAAAAAUAAUCUUGAGUUGGGCAUAGUAGUUUAUUCCUGUAAUCCCAACACAUUGGGAGGCAGAGGCAGGCUGUUGACUUGAGCCGAGGAGAUUGAGACCAGCCUGGGCAACAUGGCAAAACCCUGUGUCCACAAAAAAUGCAAAAAUUAGCCAGGCAGGGUGCCUGUCUGUAGUCCCAGCUACCCAGCAGGCUGAGGUGGCACGAUCACUUGAACCCUGGGGGUGGUCAAGGCUGCAGUGAGCCAUGAUCAUGCUACUGCAUUCCAGCCUGGGCAGCAGAGCAAGAUUCUCUCCAAAAAUAACAUAAAAAGUAUGUGUGUGUGUGUGUAUAUGUACACACAUAUAUACGUAUAUAUGUGUGUACAUAUACACACACACACACAUAUAUGUAUAUAUAUAAAAAAUGCCUUUAUGUGUAGGCUUGAUUUAAUUUUCAAUUUUAUGUGAAGCAUAAAUUGAGCAGUUUUUCUAUCUCAAUUUUUAAUCUAUUUUAACAUUGUAUUACAUUAUCUAUUAUUUUCUCUCCAAAUUGAUAAGCAAUGUACACCCCUCAGACAUGGACUGUGAUUUCUUUUUUUUUUUUUUGAGACAGAGUCUUGCUCUGUUGCCCAUGCUGUAGUGCAGUGCCACGAUCUUAACUCACUGCAACCUCUGCCUGCCAGGUUCAAGCAAUUCUAUGCCUCAGCCUCCUGAGUAGCUGGGAUUACAGGUGCUAAUUUUUGCAUUUUUAGUAAAGACAUGGUUUAACCAUGUUGGUCAGGCUGGUCUGGAACUCCUGACCUCGUGAUCCACCCACCUCGGCCUCCUGAAGUGCUGGGAUUACAGGCAUGAGCCACCACACCCAGCCAGGAAAGUUCCUUAUAGAUUCUUUCUAGCUAUUGAAAAGAGAAUUAUAAUCAUCUAAAGAGGAUUAAUUCAACACUUAGGGAAAGUAGAGGUUAGCAAGAGGAAGUUACUUCUCUUAGAGUAUGUGAUUCAAAGGAAAAAAUGUGCCACAUCAAAUAUACAUGGACUGGCUAAACAUUUCUAGGUACAUGUAGAUUUAUAAGCCACUGUAAGAUUCAACACAAUGAGGAAAUUACUGGUGUAAUAAAAAUAAACAUUAGAUUGAUGAAACACAGUAAAAUAAUUUCAAACAGGAAAGAGGUAUGAAUCUUUUGUACAAAAAAAGUUUGACAUAUAUUUAAUUCACAUACAAGCAGGAAGAUUAACUUCAUAAGAGAAUUAACAAAAGUUGUAUUAAUUCAAGACAAGAGACUGCAGAGACUAAAAUUGCUUAGUACUGAAACUUUUGCUUAUAUAAACUGUAGUUUAUGGAGAAAAUAAAGAAUUUUUUUGUUUUUUUUGAGGCAGGAUCUCACUCUAUUCCCCAGGCUAGAGUGCGAUGGCACCAUCUCGGCUGAUUGCAACCUCCAUUUUCCAGGAAGGCUCUUUAAUUCCCCCUGAUUACAAAGGUUUUGUGUGAACAUAAUUUGGUGUAAUAAAAAAAAAUUUACACCACAAGAGACAAACAUA